rnacentral:rRNA from 1 species
AAUGUAAGGGUGUAUGGUGGAUGCCUAGGCUUCAAGAAGCGAUGAAGGACGUGGAAUGGCUGCGAUAAGUUCCGGUAAGGUGCCAAUCAACCGUUAUAACCGGAAAUCUCCGAAUGGGGAAACCCAACUAUCUACGAUAGUUACUCUACGUAUGUAGAGAGUAAACCCAGGGAAGUGAAACAUCUCAGUACCUGGAGGAAAAGAAAGCAAAUCAAGGGACUUUCUUUCUGGUUGGAUCAGUCGUAAGACUGGCCAUUACAAUCAGGAAGAAGGUUCUUGCGAUGCCCUGAGUAGCGGCGAGCGAAACGGGUUCAGCCCAAACCGUGCGUGUUUACAUUCACGGGGUUGUAGGGCAGUGACUGCAUUUAGUUGCGAAAAGUUACAAAACGUUAAUAUAGUAAAACGCGUUGGAAAGCGCGACCCAAGUAGGUAAUAGUCCUGUAUACGAAAUGUUAACGACUUUUUUGUCACCGUUCCUGAGUAGUUCGAGACAUGAAUAGCUCGAAUGAAUCUGCCAGUACUAACUGGUAAGGCUAAAUAUUCUUGAAGACCGAUAGUGAACUAGUACCGUGAGGGAAAGGUGAAAAGAACCCCGGAGAGGGGAGUGAAAUAGACCUGAAACCAUACAUCUACAAGGAGUCGGAGGCCUGCGGGCCGACGGCGUGCCUAUUGAAGAAUGAGCCGGCGAGUGUAUCUGUAUUCUUUGUCUAAGGGGAAGCCCCCCGGAGGCGCAGUGAAAGCGAGCGUUAAUAGCGCGAAUAUAGAGUACGGAUACGACCCGAAGCGGGAUGAGCUUGCCAUGAGCAGGGUGAAGCGGAGGUAAAACUCCGUGGAGGCCCGAACCGGUUGGCCGUACAAAACCAUCGGAUGACUUGUGGUAAGGAGUGAAAAGCUUAUCGAAUUCCGUAAUAG